UAGCACAGAGAGCUUGCUCUCGGGUGACGAGUGGCGGACGGGUGAGUAAUGUCUGGGAAACUGCCCGAUGGAGGGGGAUAACUACUGGAAACGGUAGCUAAUACCGCAUAACGUCGCAAGACCAAAGAGGGGGACCUUCGGGCCUCUUGCCAUCGGAUGUGCCCAGAUGGGAUUAGCUUGUAGGUGAGGUAACGGCUCACCUAGGCGACGAUCCCUAGCUGGUCUGAGAGGAUGACCAGCCACACUGGAAC
rnacentral:rRNA from 1 species